GACGAACGCUGGCGGCGUGCUUAACACAUGCAAGUCGAACGGAAAGGCCCUGCUUUUGUGGGGUGCUCGAGUGGCGAACGGGUGAGUAACACGUGAGUACCCUGCCCUUGACUUUGGGAUAACUUCAGGAAACUGGGGCUAAUACCGGUUAGGAGCUCCUGCUGCAUGGUGGGGGUUGGAAAGCUGCGGCGGUUGGGGAUGGAUACGCGGCUUAUCAGCUUGUUGGUGGGGUAGUGGCUUACCAAGGCUUUGACGGGUAGCCGGCAUGAGAGGGUGACCGGGGACAUUGGGACUGAGGUACGGCCCAGUCUGCUAUGGGGGUCAGCAGUGGGGAAUAUUGCACAAUAGGCGGGAGCCUGUGGCGGCAACGCCGCGUGCGGGAGGACGGCCUUCGGGUUGUAAACCGCUUUCGCCUGUGACGAAGCGUGAGUGACGGUAAUGGGUAAAGAAGCACCGGCUAACUACGUG
rnacentral:rRNA from 1 species